UCGGGAAUUUUGGGCAAUGGGCGAAAGCCUGAUCCAGCCAUGCCGCGUGUGUGAAGAAGGUCUUCGGAUUGUAAAGCACUUUAAGUUGGGAGGAAGGGCAGUUACCUAAUACGUAUCUGUUUUGACGUUACCGACAGAAUAAGCACCGGCUAACUCUGUGCCAGCAGCCGCGGUAAUACAGAGGGUGCAAGCGUUAAUCGGAAUUACUGGGCGUAAAGCGCGCGUAGGUGGUUUGUUAAGUUGGAUGUGAAAUCCCCGGGCUCAACCUGGGAACUGCAUCCAAAACUGGCAAGCUAGAGUAUGGUAGAGGGUGGUGGAAUUUCCUGUGUAGCGGUGAAAUGCGUAGAUAUAGGAAGGAACACCAGUGGCGAAGGCGACCACCUGGACUGAUACUGACACUGAGGUGCGAAAGCGUGGGGAGCAAACAGGAUUAGAUACCCAAGUAGUCCCUGAGCGGGCUGGCAAGGCGCAU
rnacentral:rRNA from 1 species